GGAAAGAUGAAAAGAACUUCGAAAAGAGAGUUAAACAGUACGUGAAAUUGUUGAAAGGGAAACGAUUGAAGUCAGUCAUACCAACGGGAAAUCAACCUUUUGAGCUUUGUAUCGUGGGUUCGAAGAGUUUAAACGCCUUCGGGUUCGCGAGAUUGGGAUCUUCUGGUGUACUUUCUCGUACGGUUAGUCAACAUCGGUUUUGAAUGUCAUAAAAUGACUGGAGGAAUGUGGCUUCGAUCUCGUAUCGAAGUGUUAUAGCCUUUGGUAGAUGUGAUGUUUGAGACCGAGGAUUGCAACGGAUACCCUUUAAGGGCUAUUCGUCUGAUCUCUGAUACGUUACCUUGAUGUUGAAAGCUUGCUUAUGAUGUUAGGGUAUUACGGUCAAAAGGUUAGAACGGAUUAAAUUCGUUAAGGAUGUUGACGUAAUGACUUUAAACGACCCGUCUUGAAACACGGACCA
rnacentral:rRNA from 2 species